CCAAUAGCGUAUAUUAAAGUUGUUGCAGUUAAAAAGCUCGUAGUUGAAUGUCGGGGUUAGCAGGUCGGUCGUGCCAUGGGUAUGAACUGGCCUCGCUGAUCCCUACCUCUUGACGAACUGUGAUGCAAUUAAUUUGUUGUCGCAGGGAAUCAGGACUGUUACUUUGAAAAAAUUAGAGUGUUUAACGCAGGCCCACGCUUUAAUACAUUAGCAUGCAAUAAUGAAUAAGGACGUUUGAUCCUAUUUUGUUGUUUUCUAGGAUUGACGUAAUGAUUAAUAGGGAUAGUUGGGGGCAUUAGUAUUCAAUUGUCAGAGGUGAAAUUCUUGGAUUUAUUGAAGACUAACUACUGCGAAAGCAUUUGCCAAGGAUGUUUUCAUUAAUCAAGAACGAAAGUUAGGGGAUCGAAGACGAUCAGAUACCGUCGUAGUCUUAACCAUAAACUAUGCCGACUAGGGAUCGGAUGAUGUUAAUUUUUUAAUGACUCAUUCGGCGCCUUACG
rnacentral:rRNA from 1 species